GCGGCGGCGAGCAGGAAGUAGGGCGAGCGGCGGGGCCAGCGCGCGCUCGGGGCCAUGGCCCUGAGCAGGAGGGAAGUGUUCAUAGGGAAAGUACUGAAACGACUCUAUGCUGAAACUUCAUCAUCUUCUCCUGUACAUACUUCGCAUAGAGAAGAGGAGGCAUUUCUCAGAAAUGUGGACUCAAAAUCCAAAGAAAAGAAUUUGGAUGAUGUUCAGAGUUCAUCGGCAGAUGCUAGCACAUCAACUGAUACACCCGGUGAAUCAUUGCAAGGUAGUGACAAUACAGUUCUGUCUCCAAGGAGGAUGUACACAGUGAAUCUUCCUCCGGAAGGUUACGUUGCAGUUACUUCAGAUGCUAUUAGUAUUUCAGUUUCUGAAAACUCAGACAGUAGUGCUGACUUAGCAGAGGAGGAAUAUCAAGGACAAACCAAGAGAAAACGCAUUCGAAGGAAGAAACAAAAGAGCAGAUUGCAAAACCCUAAUAAUUUACAUGGAGAACAAACAGAAUCUGGAAUACAAGAGGCUCUCAUUCAAGAUAAUUUACAGCUGCAGCAGACAGACAGUCCCAAAAUAAGCAAAAACAAGAAGAGGAAAAUGAAAAAGAAGAGACAGAAAGAAAAAAUGAGAGCAGCUGGUUUGGUAACAAAAACUACCGGUGUGGAUUUUACAUAUCAGCCUGACAAAAACAACAGAGAAGAAGCAGAAGGCUUAAAAAACAUAGAUGAAAAGGCAGAUAGCAUUCUGGACUUCCUGCAGGCAACACAACAAAUUUAUUUUUCUGAUAAUAAGUCAGAAUGCACGGAUUCUGCAAUAAAUUCAGCAACUGCCCAAGAGCUUUUACACUGUCUUGAAUCUCGAACCAUCUCCUCCUCAGAUGUGACUUUUCUACAUCAGUUGAAAUCCCUUGUAUUGCUACAGGAUAUUGAGAGAUUGAAGGAUGCUUUGAAACAGUUCCAAGAACAAUCCAUGAUGCCUCCUGAUCAUACCAAGGUAGUCACGUCUCUGUUUCACUACUGGAUCACAGAUAUCCUUCCUGUGAAGAACAGGAAAUAAAGCCUUGCCUGUGUCCAUAUGCACAGGGUUGAAAUUUAAUAUACAAACUCCUAACCAAGUAGUAAUUGCUCAGGGAGAGCAGUGUCAAUACACAUUCUACACCUUCAGGCACCACAGGAUGAGCCUCUGAGCGUGGGCAGGUCCUGGGAAGCAGCUGGCAGCAGUGACUUACCGAGGUGACGUGAACAGGAGAGAAGGAGAGAUGGAGCUACACGAGUGUAGCUUUUCCCUUGUAAGGUGCGACGGUGAUCAGCAGAGCCGUUCUGCUCUGUGCUCAGCAACAUUCCCGUGGAUAACCUGAGACUUGCACCUUCAAAUGAGAGUGGUGAGAAACUUGGGAGGUAAAAGUCACAAAGAUGAGACACCACUGAGCAAGUAUCUCUAAGACGAUAAUUAGUCUUUUGAAUAAUAACUAGGGGUCCUCUCUAUCCACCUUCAUGCAGCUCUAGCUGUCCAAGGCUGAUCCAAACCAUAGCAAUUACUGGUAUCUGGAAAUCAUAGAUGCUUUGUACAGCAGUCUCUUGCAUGUUAUUUUGUUUGAAGCCAACCAAAGAAGUCUGAAAAUAACCCUAUAAUAUUACAAAAAACAUAAAACUGUUAGAAAUCCAAACUAAGCCAGUCUUUGGCACCUUUUUUUUCUCCUGAGUUCCUGAAUUGUUGUUGUUAUUCUUUGUGAAUAUCCAGAAUAAGCAAGUCAUCUGAAAAACCUACUCAAUAAAAGCAUUCUACCCACA